CCUACCUCCAUGCAGAAGGAUGGAAAUGGCUUCCAGGUUAGAGGAACCUACAGACCUCAGACUGUCAGGAAGAGAAACAAAGUUUCCAAACAACUGAUUCACACCAAUGCGAGAGAUCCAAAUAGACUUGAUGUAACGAAUGAGCUCCAGUGCUGCCAGUAUGCCUGAUUUUGAAACAGAGAGCAAGGAAAGGAAUGAAGUGGCUUGAGACUGAGUUCUGAGAAAGGUGAGUGAUAAAGCAUUUUGCAUAUUCUUUCCUUGCUUGAAUUUUCUUGAAAAUGAAUUAGGUAAUAUGCUUCCUGAGGAUGUGAGUGGUGAAACCUGGACAUCAUAUUCAGUUCUGGUUAAAGGGAAAUA